UAUUUUUUAUUUGGGUAAUUAUGAGGGUAUAUACAUUUAUACAUUAUGGGUAAUUAUGAGGAUUUAUACAUGCAUCAUGUCUCAUUGACCCUGGGAAAUAUGUAUAUUUUUUUAUUUGGGUAAUUAUGAGGGUAUAUACAUUUAUACAUUAUGGGUAAUUAUGAGGGUUUAUACAUGCAUCAUGUCUCAUUGGCCCUGGGAAAUACGUAUAUUUUUUAUUUGGGUAAUUAUGAGGGUAUAUACAUGCAUCAUGUCUCAUAGAAUCUGUCAAAUAAAUUUUUAAAUGUCACAGGGAAAUGUUUAUAACGUUUUUUAUUUGUAUGCGUUUAUGCCAUGUUUAUAUAAUUACAAGAUGAAUUAAAUAGCUUUUUUUGUCAUUACAGAAUAUGUCUAAAUCAAACCCCAAAAGCCACAAGGCGAUGGAUGACACAGAGUGGGCCUCAAGGCUUAGGUCUUUUGCUUCCUCUGGUGUUUGGCCAUCACAUGCAGGCAACAGACCUGCUCCAAGGCAACAAAAGUGGUACUCCCUGUAUCAGAAGAUAGAAAAGUGUCCACUACAGCUGAGAGGCCAGCGGACACUUUUAUCCCAACCACAAAAGUGUUUGUGUGGGUAUCAUCUUCCUAAGGUCUGUUCAACAGCAGAGGAAAAGGAUUAGCAGGUAAAAAAAAGGUCAUAAGGGCUAAACUUGCUUCAUCACUAAUAAAAAAGCACCUCUUAAUCAUUUGCAUGAAAUGGGCUGUCGUUGUGUCUUAUAUAUGUGGUUGAAGUGUGUGUGAGUUGGUGGUUUGAGGGUGCUUUGGCGCAGAAUUGUGCAAUCGUGUUUCUGUCAGUCUGCCUCAAGCUGUGGCUACAUGCGUAGCUGAAAACCACCACUGUGUAAAUUAAUAAAAUCCCCUUACUACGGUGAAGCGCUUUGGGGGGGACUUGCUUCUAACUGUGAAACGCACUGCAUAGAUGGGAUCUCUUUCCCUAAUUAUAGUAUUAACAUAGUAUUUAGUAGUAGUAGUAGUAGUAGUAGUAGUAUGUAGAAAUGACAUCACAUGCAUAAACUAGUAUUCUGCUUCCUUUGAAAUCACUGCUGAUGUUGGCCUGCCUGAUCCAGUGUGUGUGUGUGUGUGUGUGUGUGUGUGAUAUGCAAGUGUGUAUUUGUUGUUAACAUAUAUGUUCUGCAACAGGUGCCCACACCCUCAUCUACACCCACAAGCAGUGGAGGCCAAUCAAGUCAAAUGAGUUCCACAGUGCUCCAGACUGCUGUUCCAAUCCAACACCCCACAGCGUGCACCACAUCUGGAACUCCGGCAAAAAGGCCAAAGCUCACCCUGUCUUCAUUUGAAAGGUCCAGAUUUGGUGGCAAGCAUGUGGAGAGUGCAAAGCCAAACAUAAAUCUUGCACGGAAACCUUGUACUAAUGUAACACCUACUUGUACAAGCACAGCAGCCGAUUCGUGUGAGGAUCCAGUGCCAGGCCGCUCUCUUCACAACGUCUUUCAACAACAGCCACAAAGAACAGAGACCUUUUAUCUUGCCCCACCUUUACCAGCUCCGAAAAGACAGAGACCGGUGGAGGAGCAAAGUUCAGCAGUGAAUGCAAACCCAUUCCAGCCUGAGAACACUGGUGAGCUGCCACUUCUUUGGCCUAAGACCAUGCCAGAGGAGGAUCACCAGUGGGUUUCAACAGCCUUA